rnacentral:rRNA from 1 species
UACGUAGGUGGCAAGCGUUGUCCGGAUUUAUUGGGUUUAAAGGGUGCGUAGGCGGAUGCUUAAGUCAGAGGUGAAAGACGGCCGCUCAACGGUCGCAGUGCCUUUUGAUACUGGGUAUCUUGAGUGCAGACGAGGUCUGCGGAAUGGAUGGUGUAGCGGUGAAAAUGCUUAGAUACCAUCCAGAACACCAAUAGCGAAGGCAGCUCGCUGGGGACGGUACUGACGCUAAAGGCGCGAAAAGCGUGGGGGAGCGAACAGG